rnacentral:rRNA from 1 species
AACGAACGCUGGCGGCAGGCUUAACACAUGCAAGUCGAACGCCCCGCAAGGGGAGUGGCAGACGGGUGAGUAACGCGUGGGAAUCUACCUAGUUCUACGGAACAACAGUUGGAAACGACUGCUAAUACCGUAUACGCCCUAUGGGGGAAAGAUAUAUCGGAAUUAGAUGAGCCCGCGUAAGAUUAGCUAGUUGGUGAGGUAAUGGCUCACCAAGGCGACGAUCUUUAGCUGGUCUGAGAGGAUGAUCAACCACACUGGGACUGAGACACGGCCCAGACUCCUACGGGAGGCAGCAGUGGGGAAUAUUGGACAAUGGGCGCAAGCCUCAUCCAGCCAUGCCGCGUGAGUGAUGAAGGCCUUAGGGUUGUAAAGCUCUUUCAGUAGGGAAGAUAAUGACGGUACCUACAGAAGAAGCCCCGGCUAACUUCGUGCCAGCCGCCGCAGUAAGAC